GUGGCGGCGUGCUUAACACAUGCAAGUCGAACAGAGUGACUUUGAUGAAGAUUCGUCUGAUUCAGGCUGUACACUUAGUGGCGGACGGGUGAGUAACGCGUGGGUAACCUGCCUCAUACAGGGGGGAUAGCAGCUGGAAACGGCUGAUAAAACCGCAUAAGCGCACACUAUCGCAUGAUAGAGUGUGAAAAACUCCGGUGGUAUGAGAUGGACCCGCGUCUGAUUAGCUCGUUGGUGAGGUAACGGCCCACCAAGGCGACGAUCAGUAGCCGGCCUGAGAGGGUGAACGGCCACAUUGGGACUGAGACACGGCCCAAACUCCUACGGGAGGCAGCAGUGGGGAAUAUUGCACAAUGGGGGAAACCCUGAAUGCAGCGACGCCGCGUGAAGGAUGACGUAUUUCGGUAUGUAAACUUCUAUCAGCAGGGAAGAACAAGUGACGGUACCUGACUAAGAAGCCCCGGCUAACUACGUGCCAGCCGCCGC
rnacentral:rRNA from 1 species